GAUGAAACUAAGAUGCAGCAUAAAUAGCCAUUAUGUAAAUUACUGUAAGGUGCAUAUUAUACAACAGCAUAUUCGUCAAAAUGAAUAAUAAUGAUCGUUACUGUGACUGUCGUUCCUAAAAUAAUGUUCUCAUUCAAUUGUGAUUCCAUGUCCUUCGCACUUAUUUGACUUUUUUUGUGUAUACUAUCUGUGUAUCAAAAUUUUUUUAGUUGUGAUUAAUUUUAAUUUGAAUUGUCCUAUCGGCCUUUUGUUUCAUCGAUCUUUCGUCCCAUUGUGCCGCUGUUAGUUGUCUGUGUCAGUAUUUUGAUUGUCGAUCAAUUGUCCUUUUAGUCAUUUAGAGAUCGACCAAUUGGACUUAUUAAUUGCAUAUCAAAAUGUCUAUAUACCAUGUGAAACGAUGAAUUUAUUAUUGCUAAAAAAAAAAAAAAAAAAAAAAAAAAACCGAUUCUGAGUCCCGUAGCAAAAGUAAUUCGGAAAUCGAUGAAAAAUAAAACCGAAAUAUCCACAUUCGUUAUUGUUAUUUUAAAUUGUCUAGGAAAAUUAUUGGAUAUCUAGACAAUUUUUUUUUCAAAUAAAAUAUUCUAUACUAGGCGAAAAUUUGCUUCUUAUAAAGUACGAUGAGAAUAAUUUGGGUAUCUUUUAAAAGUGUUUUACCCAGUUAUUGACAUAAACGGCGAAAUAAAAAUUCAUACCAAUCGUAUUCUAGAUUUGAAAUAUUAUAAAAUAUAAUUUAAUACGAUGUCAUACACCGAUAUUUUUACAUA